GAUUUCAGGGUAGAGUCACAGAACACCGGGGAAACAAGCUGCAAGAAGCCUAUGACGUGAUAACCACAAGACUUUUUUUUAAUUGUUUUCUGUUGAAGGAGGAAAACUGUCUUUUUGACCUCAAGCAAUGAGUCAUUAAUUUAUGGCAGCAGUGAAAGCUUAUUUGAUACCCUCUGUUUUGUAUGUUUUAAAUAAAGUAAGAGUAAGCAGCUCUCAACAACCAAAAAAGGUUAUUGGACCAUUUUGGUGGCAUUGUCAAACUGCACCUCACCACCC